AGUCGAGGCAGUGUGUCUGGAGCCCAGGAUCCUAGGCCAUAGAUGGAUGUUGGAACCAUGCAGAUCUGUGGCAUGGGCUAGAAGCCUCCAGCCAGUACUCCCCAUGCCCAUAAGGAGGCAGACACUAGCUGGUAACAGAGACUGGGAAGCAUAGCGCAGGCGGUGAAUCCUUAUGAUACAGUGGAAGAACAGGAAACAGAUCUGAGAGCUAUCAGCUCCCACAACGGCACAAGAGAAGGCUGAAACACUGGCUCUAGUUCACCAAAGCGUAGUCUGCCCACAGUUGGCUGCUCCAUCACCCCUCAGGGUGGAAUCCUUCCUGCCCCAGUCAUUCUCACUGAGACACCAAUAUGAUCCGCCCCCCCCACACACACCAUAUGCGGAAUUUACAAAGGGAAUAAAGGUUCCCUGCCAAUACACACACCAUAUGCAGAAUUUACAAAUGGAAUCUGUUCCAUGACUCCUGCACCCCUCAGCCAGA
rnacentral:lncRNA from 1 species